rnacentral:miRNA from 1 species
UUUUGCGAUCGUGUUGCCCAGCG